rnacentral:lncRNA from 1 species
CGGGGCCAGGCUGCCUCGCUAAACGAUGCACACCUGUAACUCACGUGACCCUGAUUAUGAUUGAAAUGAGAACGAGGGCGUCGUGCCUUUAUAAGACUGCGUUAAUGUUUCCGUGGAGUUAUCCCUUCCGUUGUUGUUUAUUGAUUGUUAAACAUGGCUUCAUUUGCAAAGGUGGUUGUGUGUCUCCUCAUUGCUUGUGUCUGUAAUGCAUUCUGUUUUCCGAAGAGAGAUGUGAACUUUAAGGCCUCUGCAGUUGACCGACAAAGUGAUGAUGUGGUUGUCACCACAACACCAGUUCCCCACAACCAGACCACAUCUGUCAAUACUGAAGCUGGUGGUGCAAGUGAAGAUGCUGUGGCUACUACCCCAGCACCUAAUCCACACAACCAGACAACUCCUGCACAAACUGAAGUUACUGAUGGAGCCAGUGAAGAUGCUGUGGACCGCCAAAGUGAUGAUGUGGUUGUCGCCACAACACCCGAUCCCCACAACCAGACCACAUCUGUCAAUACUGAAGCUGGUGGUGGUGCAAGUGAAGAUGCUGUGGCUACUACCCCAGCACCUAAUCCACACAACCAGACAACUCCUGCACAAACUGAAGUUACUGAUGGAGCCAGUGAAGAUGCUGUGGACCGCCAAAGUGAUGAUGUGGUUGUCGCCACAACACCCGAUCCCCACAACCAGACCACAUCUGUCAAUACUGAAGCUGGUGAUGGAGCAAGUGAAGAUGCUGUGGCUACCACCCCAACACCAAAUCCUCCAACUACAUCUGACCACACUGCAGCUACCGAUGAUCCAAGUGAGGGUGCUGUGGCUGCCCAAACUGGAACUACUGGCAAGGGAGUUAUGAUUAUACAAGGAACCACUUGGAUGGUUCAAACUGUUUGCUCUAAAAAUGUAUUAACAAGGAAUCUGAUGCAGUGCAAGGGUCU